GCUCUUGCAGUUUUGUUUUGUUUUAAUAAAAAGAUCGUUAUUACAAUCCACAAAGGGUCACAAAAAUGCAGCCAUUACAGACCGGCCGUAUUCCUUGUGCAGCUCUCCUGCCCUCUGCACCUUCUCCAGGCUUAGAUCACCCAAAUGUGUGAAGGCAGGACUGUUGUCAGUCAUGAUAAGCGUGUGCAUUAAGGGGCUAAUCCAAACUUUACCAAAGUGAAAUGAAAGACCGUUGAUUAAAAGUAAAUUUCUGAUUGUAACCCACUUUCUUCUUUCUGAAGCAAAUGUGUACAUUUACAGGAGCAUGGAGCCAAACUGUUUCCUCUAUAUAUCAAAAUUCCAGCUAAAUAAGUUCCAUGUGCAGUCUUUGAAAGCUUCUUCAUGAAGGAACCCUGUGAUUCUUCAGCUGCUUUGCCAUCUUCUCUGGGGGUGCACAGAGAACUUGGCAUGAGACAAGGAAUGCUUUCCCCAAAAGUGCUCUGGUCUCAGGGACAGGACUGUCAAUAUGCAUUGCAGUGCAAAUGGCAAG
rnacentral:lncRNA from 1 species